rnacentral:miRNA from 1 species
GAAGAAUAGGAGGGACUUUGU